rnacentral:rRNA from 1 species
UUUUAUUUGAGAGUUUGAUCCUGGCUCAGGAUGAACGCUGGCGGCGUGCCUAACACAUGCAAGUUGAGCGAUUUACUUCGGUAAAGAGCGGCGGACGGGUGAGUAACGCGUGGGUAACCUACCCUGUACACACGGAUAACAUACCGAAAGGUAUGCUAAUACGGGAUAAUAUAUUUGAGAGGCAUCUCUUGAAUAUCAAAGGUGAGCCAGUACAGGAUGGACCCGCGUCUGAUUAGCUAGUUGGUAAGGUAACGGCUUACCAAGGCGACGAUCAGUAGCCGACCUGAGAGGGUGAUCGGCCA